rnacentral:rRNA from 1 species
GAUGAACGCUGGCGGCGUGCCUAAUACAUGCAAGUCGAGCGAACAGACGAGGAGCUUGCUCCUCUUACGUUAGCGGCGGACGGGUGAGUAACACGUGGAUAACCUACCUAUAAGUCUGGGAUAACUUCGGGAAACCGGGGCUAAUACCGGAUAGUAUAUUGAACCGCAUUGUUCAAUAGUGAAAGAUGGUUUUUCUGUCACUUAUGGAUGGAUCCGCGCCGCAUUAGCUAGUUGGUAAGUUAACGGCUUACCCAGGCAACGAUGCGUAGCCGACCUGAGAGGGUGAUCGGCCACAGUGGAACUGAGACACGGUCCAGACUCCUACGGGAGGCAGCAGUAGGGGAUCUGCAGCAAUGGGCGAAAGCGUGACGGAGCAACGCCGCGUGAGUGAUGAAGGUCUCCGGAUCGUAAAACUCUGUUCUUAGGGAAGAACAAAUGUGUAAGUAACUAUGCACGUCUUGACGGAACCUAAUCAGAAAGCCACGGCUAACUACGUG